GCCACCGUCGGCUCUUAUUUCCCGGCUGAAGUGACUUGCUUUUCGGUGUCGUUUUGUGAUGCAAUUUCGUGCGAGGUGUUGUUUGAGUGCCGUAUCUUGCAGCUGUGCCUGUGUUUGUAUCGGAAGGCAUAUCGAGAGAUUUGCGGGAGUCGUCGCUGCGUUCUAUUUGCCUGGCAUCAAGAGUCUGCCUGGCAUCAAGAGUCGUGAACCAGUCCCGUAGACUUCGAGUAGGUUCAAUUUUUGAGAUAAAAGAGGUUUUUCUGCCAGAAGCACACAUCUCGGCCUAGGCAGGCAGUGCCGAAGGGCCGCAUGCAAUGUAAGAGAGACCCCGAGUGGUGGGAAGCAUUGAUGGCACCACGCAAGCAAACUAGUGGCAACAGCAGUGACAGCAGCAGCAGCAUGGGUCGAGGCAAGCGUUCAGCACUUCUGGACAAGGACAGCGAGGAGUACCGCAUCCAUCGGGCACGUAAUAACCUGGCUGUCAAAAAGUC